GAUGAAGAACGUAGUGAAAUGCGAUAAGUAAUGUGAAUUGCAGAAUUCAGUGAAUCAUCGAAUCUUUGAACGCACAUUGCGCCCCUUGGUAUUCCGAGGGGCAUGCCUGUUCGAGCGUCAUUACACCACUCAAGCACUGCUUGGUAUUGGGCACUCGUCCGUCGAAAGACGGGCGUGCCUCGAAGACCUCGGCGGGGUUUCUCCAACUUCGGGCGUAGUAGAGUUAAAUCAAAACGUCUUAUAAGCUUGGUGAGAUCUCAUUGCCGUUAAACCUUUUUUUUUCAGGUUGACCUCGGAUCAGGUAGGGAUACCCGCUGAACUUAAGCAUAUCAAUAAGCGGAGGA
rnacentral:misc_RNA from 1 species